rnacentral:rRNA from 1 species
AGUGAACGCUGGCGGUAGGCCUAACACAUGCCAGUCGAACGGCAGCACAGUAAGAGCUUGCUCUUACGGGUGGCGAGUGGCGGACGGGUGAGGAAUACAUCGGAAUCUACUUUUUCGUGGGGGAUAACGUAGGGAAACUUACGCUAAUACCGCAUACGACCUACGGGUGAAAGCAGGGGAUCUUCGGACCUUGCGCGAUUGAAUGAGCCGAUGUCGGAUUAGCUAGUUGGCGGGGUAAAGGCCCACCAAGGCGACGAUCCGUAGCUGGUCUGAGAGGAUGAUCAGCCACACUGGAACUGAGACACGGUCCAGACUCCUACGGGAGGCAGCAGUGGGGAAUAUUGGACAAUGGGCGCAAGUCUGAUCCAGCCAUACCGCGUGGGUGAAGAAGGCCUUCGGGUUGUAAAGCCCUUUUGUUGGGAAAGAAAAGCAGCAGGUUAAUACCCCGCUGUUCUGACGGUACCCAAAGAAUAAGCACCGGCUAACUUCGUG